rnacentral:rRNA from 1 species
AGCGAACGCUGGCGGCAGGCUUAACACAUGCAAGUCGAGCGGGCACUUCGGUGUCAGCGGCAGACGGGUGAGUAACACGUGGGAACGUACCCUUUGGUUCGGAAUAACGCUGGGAAACUAGCGCUAAUACCGGAUACGCCCUUUUGGGGAAAGGCUUGCUGCCGAAGGAUCGGCCCGCGUCUGAUUAGCUAGUUGGUGGGGUAAUGGCCUACCAAGGCGACGAUCAGUAGCUGGUCUGAGAGGAUGAUCAGCCACACUGGGACUGAGACACGGCCCAGACUCGUACGGGAGGGAGCAGUGGGGAAUAUUGGAGAAUGGGCGCAAGCCUGAUACAGCCAUGCCGGGUGAGUGAUGAAGGCCUUAGGGUUGUAAAGCUCUUUUGUCCGGGACGUUAAUGACGGUACCGGAAGAAUAAGCCCCGGCUAACUUCGUG